rnacentral:rRNA from 1 species
CAGGGGGUAUGCUCAGUAGCGGCGAGUGAGCGGCAAAAGCUCAAAUUUGAAAUCUGGCGUCUUUGGCGUCCGAGUUGUAAUUUGAAGAAGGUAUCUUUGGGCCCGGCUCUUGUCUAUGUUCCUUGGAACAGGACGUCACAGAGGGUGAGAAUCCCGUGCGAUGAGAUGACCCGGGUCUGUGUAAAGUUCCUUCGACGAGUCGAGUUGUUUGGGAAUGCAGCUCUAAGUGGGUGGUAAAUUCCAUCUAAAGCUAAAUAUUGGCGAGAGACCGAUAGCGAACAAGUACAGUGAUGGAAAGAUGAAAAGAACUUUGAAAAGAGAGUGAAAAAGUACGUGAAAUUGUUGAAAGGGAAGGGCUUGAGAUCAGACUUGGUAUUUUGCAUGCUGCUCUCUCGGGGGCGGCCGCUGCGGUUUACCGGGCCAGCAUCGGUUUGGAGCGGCAGGAUAAUGGCGGAGGAAUGUGGCACGGCUUCUGCUGUGUGUUAUAGCCUCUGACGAUGCUGCCAGCCUAGACCGAGGACUGCGGUUUUUAACCUAGGAUGUUGGCAUAAUGAUCUUAAGUCGCCCGUCUUGAACAACGGGACCA